UACGUAGGGGGCUAGCGUUGUCCGGAAUCAUUGGGCGUAAAGCGCGCGUGGGCGGCCAGAUAAGUCCGGUGUGAAAGUCACAGGCUCAACCUGUGAAUGCCGCUGGAAACUGUCUGGCUAGAGUCCGGAAGGGGCGAGUGGAAUUCCUGGUGUAGCGGUGAAAUGCGCAGAUAUCAGGAGGAACACCAAUGGCGAAGGCAGCUCGCUGGGACGGUACUGACGCUGAGGCGCGAAAGCGUGGGGAGCAAACAGG
rnacentral:rRNA from 1 species